rnacentral:rRNA from 30 species
AAAUUGAAGAGUUUGAUCAUGGCUCAGAUUGAACGCUGGCGGCAGGCCUAACACAUGCAAGUCGAACGGUAACAGGAAGCAGCUUGCUGCUUCGCUGACGAGUGGCGGACGGGUGAGUAAUGUCUGGGAAACUGCCUGAUGGAGGGGGAUAACUACUGGAAACGGUGGCUAAUACCGCAUAACGUCGCAAGACCAAAGAGGGGGACCUUCGGGCCUCUUGCCAUCAGAUGUGCCCAGAUGGGAUUAGCUAGUUGGUGAGGUAACGGCUCACCAAGGCGACGAUCCCUAGCUGGUCUGAGAGGAUGACCAGCCACACUGGAACUGAGACACGGUCCAGACUCCUACGGGAGGCAGCAGUGGGGAAUAUUGCACAAUGG